GAAGAAUCCUCAUAUCACGACAGAGCACAUCGAGCCCAUAUUAUUGACUUCAGAAAACUAUUUCGCUAAACCUAAGCCAUGAAUAUUGCGACCUUUGCUGCAUUCAUAUAUAUCUGUGCCCUUGUAGUGCUAAUGUAUACAUUCGCCGUCGAAGGAUGUAAACAAUCAGAUGAUUCGUGCACGCCAGGCACUAACAGUAAUUGCUGCAGUGGUUGGUGCCUAACUUCGUGGAAAUGCGAAUAAGCGAAUCAUCCAGGAUAUCUCAACAGAAAACAUACAUCCUCGUUAUGUCCUGUAUGAAUUGAUCGACUCAUGGAUCACAUGACUAAAAGCUAGA